AAGAAUUUGAGGAUUUUAUCUUCACUUUCCAUCCGAUGUUUAAUUACACCUUUGUUGCUUCGGUUCGUCUGUCUUUCGAGACUGCUGGAGAUGGUUUCAUUUCUAGCUCGUACGAAUCGAUAGCCUUCAAAAUUCUUCUUAAUCAUGAUGUCUAAGUCAAACGUUUUAAAUUAAAAACA
rnacentral:misc_RNA from 1 species